UACGUAGGUGACAAGCGUUGUCCGGAUUUACUGGGCGUAAAGAGCGUGCAGGCGGUUGUUCAAGUCGGGUGUGAAAGCCCCCGGCUCAACUGGGGAGGGUCAUUCGAUACUGAUCGACUCGAAGGCAGGAGAGGGUAGUGGAAUUCCCGGUGUAGUGGUGGAAUGCGUAGAUAUCGGGAGGAACACCAGUGGCGAAGGCGGUUGCCUGGAGCUUUGCUGACGCUGAGGCGCGAAAGCGUGGGGAGCGAUCCGG
rnacentral:rRNA from 1 species